ensembl:lncRNA
AAAAAAAUCGUCUUGAAUCACUUUUAAAUUAUUGUUAAUGUUGCAUGAUUUGUAAUUAAAUUGUAAAAACAUCUAUUCAUACUACCCUUUGUGUUCGUGUGCAACAGAAAAUUUUAACCAUUUCCCUAAACAAUAGGUAAAUUAUUUUAUCUAAUCUGUGCAUAUUAGUGCUCCUGUAGCUCAAGUGGUAGAGCAUUGCGUUACAAAGCGCAAAGUUGGGGGUUUGAUUCCCCGGGAACACAUGAUAGGUAAAAAUUGAUAGCCUGAAUGCACUGUAAGUCGCUUUGGAUAAAAGCGUCUGCUAAAUGCAUAAAUAUAAAUAUAUAUUAUAUAUUGAAAUGCAUAUUGAUGACAAGUAUUCAGUUAAACUGUACCAAUAACAUUUUUGAAAAAUCUUUUACCAAUCUUUAUAAAAUCUGUCACAUCUGUGAAUCAAUUUAAUGGAAUUACUGAAUAUCCUUAUGAAUUACAGUAUGAAGUAUUACAGUAUUAAAUUAUUAAUUAAAGUAUUAAAAAGGUAAAAUUUUAUGCUACAAUUCUAAACAUUUAAAUGUAUCCACAAAUUCUAAUUAACAAAUAGUCAAACAAACAAUAAAUAUGUUAUAAAUACUUUGAGAUUCAACAUACAGUGUCUCAGAAGACUGAUAACCAGAUAACCAGAGAUAUAAAAUUAGAACAUCUUACUCUGCCUUACCUUAUAACACCAAGUUCAAGAGUCCCUGUGAUCAUGUGUAAUCACAUUUUCUAAAUAUAGCAAGACAUCUACCAAUAGCAUUAGAGCUCCAGCACUAUGAACGCCCAUUACAGAACAGAGACCAUCACAACAAGAAAGAAAGUUGCUGAUACUCUUAAUGCACCUUAACAGAUCUUGUGACUAGAUCAAACGACUCUGACUUUUGGAUAGGGAAAGAUGAACCAUUUCUACAAACACCAGUAGGUUAUUUUAUCUAAUCUGCACAUAUUACAUUUAAAUGCACAGUGAUGAAAAGUAUUCACUUAUACCAUUAAAGCAUUUUAAACAUUUUUCGUAUACUUGCAGUGUUAUGGAUUUGCAGUCUAUGAAGUCAGUUUCUAAGUCUCUGAAUGAAGGAAUUGCCUCGAUCUGUAACAUCUGCAAGUCCCUUAUGAAUGCACAAGUCAAUCCCACCACGGACACAUGCUCCAAUUACAAACAAAUCAGGGGAUAUAUCGAGGAUGCUGAGCAGUGCAUGAAAAAUACUGAGAAAAUGAUUCAAGAAAAACUAAAACAUCUGGAUGAAAGCAUGGAGCAACUUAUUAGAGAGAAGCAAAACGUUGAGCAGCAGAAGAAAGAAAAAAGCAUGACCAUGGAUAAAUUGCACGAAGAGAAGAAGUCCGCUGAAGGUUCAUUAGAGUAUUCCGAAGCAGCUUUGACACAGGCUAUUAAAAACCUAGAAUCAGCAAACUAUGCCCUAAGUGUACAACAAGACAGGAGGAACGCAGGUGAAGGACUGACAAUUGCAGGGGGGGUAUUGCUUGCAAUACCAAUUAUUGGAUGGAUUGCUGGUCCAAUAAUGAUUACUGAGGGACAGCGGGGAAUUGAAGAAGCUUCAAAUGCCUUGAGACAUGCUGAAAGGGAGAAACAAGACUGUGAGUCUCAAAUGUUGAACUGGAUUACAAAAGUGGUUCAUUACGAGGGAAUAAUCUCUAAGACACAGUCUGAAAUUGAGCAGGCCAAUGAAGCACUGAAGGGGAUUGAGUGGAAGAUUAAAGAGGUUCAAGAGCAUCUAACAGGCACAGGUGAAAUUCAGGAAGUGGUCAGGAGAACUGUCAACCUUCUGAGUGUUCUUAGUGGAAGAGUCACUGUGCUGGAGAGACAAACACAACAUUUCAUCCUCUGGCAGCCUGUAGUAAAGUCCAUGGAAGAUGUGAUGAAGGCAAUAGUAAAUAUUGCUGAGAAUCGGCUCCUCUAUAGUGAUGGUGUCCCAGGCCUUAUAAAUACUUUGAGGGAGAAUGUUGGAGGAUUACAGGCUUUAUGCAACUCGCCCAGUAAUUCUGAAAAUGACAGCUAUUACUAAUCAUUUCAUUGUAACUCACAUAGCAAAUGCUUUAAAGAAAAAGGGGUUAUUGAUGUUUUUAAUUUUUUUUUCAUUUGUGUAAAUUCACAAAUGAAUUUACAAAUUCUGAUUUUAAUCACAAUACAAAUUAUUAUAAAUCUUAUCAACUGCUUUCAUGAAUGACUCCAUUUAAAUUGAUUAUAUGACAAAUUUUAAACAUCUUAUUAAUCACUCAUAAUUAAUUUCAUAUAAUCAGUUGCACAUUGCUGUUUGCAUGUUUAAAGCUCAUAUAAAAAAGACAUAAGGUUAGGUUUUGGUGGCAGUUUCUGUUCCAAUGAUUUUGUUUUUAGUUCCUGUUUCCUCAGUUCCCUUUGGUUAUUAGCAAAGCCACUGGAAGGCAAACCUGCAACCUUAAGCCCGAAAAGCAUCAAUGGAGGAGAGGCUUCACUAUACUGAAUAAACAGUUUUUGUUAGAAAAUAGGUCA